rnacentral:lncRNA from 1 species
UUGUCUUCAAUUCUUGUUUCUUACUUUCUUCCUUUAUUAAGAGUAUUUUGUAUGAGAGUUAGUGUUGGGAAGCACUUGUGUGAACCCUUUCUUUGGAGUGAUCUUGUGAGGUUAUUCUCUUAGGGUAUUUGGGAUUAAUUAGAGUGUUUACUCUAAUUUUAUACUCUCUUUUGCACUCUUAUUGUUAUAGUGAAAUUGCCCCUCUCCGCUUGUGGACGUAGGUCACUUUGACCGAACCACGUUAAAUUUGUGUCUUCUUUAUCUACUUUAAUUGUCGUUGUUAUCAACUUCCAUUGUCUUUGUUAUUGUCAUUAUACCGUUGUUUGGCUAAAUUCCGCACUACCCGGGUUCCCGAUCCUAACAAAUUGGUAUCAGAGCCAGAUCUAACCGGGUUAGUUUCAAUAUCCAAAAUGACUCUAACAAAGACCUAUAUUGAGAAAUUUGACCGAAGGGAAUGUGGCAAUUAAAGAUGGAAGCUAUCCUAAUUCAGGAUGGCUUAGACUUGGCGUUGCAAGGAAACGAGAAGAAGCCGGAUAAAAUGACGGACGAGGAGUUUGCCAUCAUAGACAAAAAGGCAAAAGCAGGUAUCAUUUUAAAUCUCUCAAAUGAGGUUUUACGUGAAGUUUCUGUAGAAACCACAGCUAAAGGCAUGUGGGAAAAAUUGAAAACCUUAUAUAUGAAGAGGACGGUGGAAAAUAGACUUUACCUGAAGCAGAAGCUUUAUACAAUUCGUAUGGGUGAAGAUACCUCUAUUCUCUCUCAUCUUGACACAUUUGAUUCCAUUCUUAUGGAUUUGAGUAAUAUAGAUGCUGAAAUUAAAGAUGAAGAUCAAGCCGUGUUACUGCUUUGUUCUCUACCCGCACUGGACAGGCUGCCCUGUUCCGCAAAUGCGAGCGUUGUCUCACAAAUGCAUGUCCGCAGAUGCGAAAAUAAAUCCGCAAAUGCGAAAAAUGCUGGAUAGAGUGCUUAUUAACGGGAGUUAACUAUUUUUACCCAUUUUUGAGUUUUGAGUCUCGGAUUUAGGCGAUUCCAAAAGGAUUUUUUACGAUUUCGACUUGGGUAAGUAUUCUAUAUCCGAAAGUGAUUAUAUUUCAUAAAUCCAUGUCAAUAUUCAUCGUUUAUUUCGGAUUUAGAUGGAAGAAAUUGGGAUUUUUAUAAACUCUUCCAAAAAUAUAAAAUGAAGAUUUGAAAGCCAAUCCGAUGUCGGAAUUCGAUAAUUUUUGUAUGGAUGAACUCGUAUCGGAAUGGGUGUUUGAUUUUUGUGAGUUUUUUCGGGAUUCGAGAUGUGGGUCUCACUAUCGAUUUUUAAAAUAAAUUUUCGAUUUUAAUCUGGAAAAUAAGUAAAUUCAUAUGGAAUCAAUUUCUACGAUUUGUAUUGAGUAUAUUGAAUUGUUUAUGACUAGAUUUGAGGAUUUCGGACACGAAUUCACGAGGCAAAGGUUAAUUAGAAUCUUGAGUUGGUUGCAAAGCGAGGUAAGUAUUAUGAUUAACCUUGACUUGAGGGAGUAGAACUUAUUUGUCUAUUUGCUACGUGAUUUAAUGUGCGGGUACAAUAUAUAUGUGAGGUGACGAGUACUUAUGCGUUGUGGUUGAGUCAAAGCAUGCUGGAGGAAUUUAAUUUAUUUUGAAUAAUUAUUUAUUUAAUUAAGAUAUUCCUGCUUAAGUUUAUUAUUGAUUAGUUGAACAUUAUUUAUGGAUUUUUUAUUGAUUUAAUUAUUGUUGAAUAUGGUGAGAAAGAGCGUAAAAGCACGAAGGGUGAUAUCGUACCAUUUUUAUUAUUUAUACUAUCAUUGUCAUAGUGAGAAAAAGUGUAAAAGCACGAAGGGUGUUGCCGUGCCAUUUUUGAGUGUAAAAGCACGAAGGGUGAUACCGUAUCAUUUUCAGAGAGUGUAAAAUCACAAAGGGUGAUGUCGUGCCAAAAGAGAGUUAAAGCAUGAAGGGUGAUGUCAUGCCAAUUAUUAUUAUUAUUAUUAUUAUUUAUUUAUCAGUUUAUGGGAGGAAUAAGAGUAAAACCACGGAGGGUGGUGCCGUGCCAUUUUCAUAUUAUCAGUUGUUCAUUUUAUUGUUGAUGAAUUAAUUGGCUGCUAAGUGAUAACUUUUCCUGCUGAAAUUAUUACAUCACCCCCUUCUCAUGCUCCCUCCCAAAUUUAUAAAGUGUUAUUUAUUGUAUUAUUAUUGCUUCGUAUUUGUAUAUACUUGUACAAAUUAUUUAUGUAUGUGUCCUGUCAUAGCCUCGUCACUACUUCAUCGAGGUUAGGCUCGACACUUAUGGAGUAUAUGGGGUCAGUUGUACUCAUACUACACUAUGCACUUCUUGUGCAAAUUUUGGAGUUGGUUUCAACGGCGUACCAUAGACUUGCUGCUACCUAGAGGAGACUUGAGGUAUAACUGCACAUCGUCUACAAUUUUGAAGUCCCCUUCUAUCCUAUCUUAGCUGUGUAUUACCUUUCAAACAACUUGAAUUUUUUUCAGACCUUUAUUUGUAUCAUUCUAGUAGCUCGUGCACUUGUGACACCAGAUUCAGGGAUGUAUUUUGAUGAUUCGGUAGUUAUGGUCUUCUGCACUUUAUUUCAG